rfam:Schistosoma curassoni strain Dakar, Senegal genome assembly, scaffold: SCTD_scaffold0000149
GCACUGCUGAGGAGUUCCAGAAUAGGACGAUACGGUCUUCCAGUGC